GGCGUUUUCACGUCGGUGGACGGUCCCCUCAGCCAAUCCGCGGUGUCAUUUUCACGGCAUCCUAUUUUACAGUAGGGAAAGCAAAAGGUCUGCACCACUGAACAUUCCCCCGUCUGCACCUGGUGUGGUCAGAGAGAUAGCAUGGCCCAGCUACGAGGGAGCUCCAUGCGUAGGCGAGAAUAAUCGGUAAGUAAGUUUGCUGGUUCCAUGUUUUUUUUGUUUUGCAACCGCCGGGGAUAGUAUAUAACCAUCCUAGUGCCAGCUCCAGUGGCACGGUUGUGUGGUCGAGCAAGGAGGCCCUUGCAGAAAGGCACGAGGUCCCUCCGCUAUUGGGCGACGGGUUGACUGCAACGAUCGACAAGCAGCUCGUGGCGCUCCUUGCUCCGCCUCGUUGGAAGUAAUGCUCCACAUGGGGGCGGGAGAGGCUUUACCAGUACCUUGGGCCGUGGGCUCCUGGAUUACUCCGCUCUAAGGCUUUUUUUUGUUCUCUUUGCUUGUUGCACCAGCGCAAUGUGGGAGUCGGUUGACCGAUGACGUCGAGAGCGAAUCCGAAGCUUCUGUACUAUGUGUGCGAGCGAACGAGUCCGAAAGGCCUGGCGCUUAAAGGUGGAUGGUGCUGCUGGAGGUGCUGAUAUUGGAGGCAGGGAGCGAUGCGACAAAGAUGAGUGGUUGUGCAUGACGAGGCAGCGACAGAGAGAGCUGGCCAGACUGUGAGGGAUGGAGCGAAUUUAGCUUGUGCCUUGUGUGGCUCACUCGUGCAGCUCCCUCACAGUCUGCAUGGCUCUCCGUGUCUCUUCCUCUUUUCGGCCACGUUGGGAUUGGUUGUCUCGGCAUCAUGGGAGUCUGUCAACGCGUGCGGAUGCUGGGGCUGACCUGCGGGUGAAUAUUCCUACGUGCAGAUCUUGUGAAGGAUGUACAGGUGUGGUGCUGCGAAGGUGGUGAACCUGUAAGAUGAGUGCAAAGUCAACUUGUUAUCACCGUUGCGGUAGCUGUUUGUGGGAUUUGUUUACAUGUUCCGCAAGUCAGAGCAAGCUGGGAUGCGACAUUUCUCACUUGGCCCUCGAAUUUAUCUUCGAGAUACCUUGGGCAUUUCUUGAACAUCCCAGAGCACCGUCUUUUUAUAGUCAUCCGCGUCUUUGUCUGCAAACUAGACUAAGGCAGUUGUGAUAGUAAUCAUUUGAAAUCAGGCUGUGUCGUCUCUCUGAAGCGACUAGCUAAGUAGUAGGGACGACCAGUGUAUGUGGUCCAUGUAGGAUGAUACGGGCCCAUCGUGUACCGCGCUUGUGUCAGCUGCAAAGAGAGGUAUUCGAAGCAGUUUCGACUGCGGCUUCUGUGCAGUAGUAGUGCUGGCUGAGUUUGUUGAAACAGCGGUUAGUCAUGUAUACACUACACUCUCGUGUUUCAGGCUUGGAGCCUCGUAAUAUACUGCCGCAUUGGCUCAGACGAUCUACAGCGAUUUGUAGCUGGAACAUGUUCGUUUCGCUUAGAAUUUCAGGUGCUUCUUUCGCCGUGUAAUGCAGGUUACAACUUGCGGAGAAUGUUUGGUUGAGACUAAGCCACCUAAUUAUCCUGCCGUGCGUGUUUGUGCUCCGGGAUGCACGCGGUGAUGUCACUGGUGUCUUGUGCGCACAUCUGUGCAAUGUUGAUUAUGCUUUUUGCCUCAUGAGGUACUUCUAGGGCAUUACUACGAGAAUCUAGUCCGUAACAAUGUCAUCCAGCAUAUGUUGGGUUGGCUGUUGGACUUGGUCCGUGGAGCACCGAGCGUGCCUGAAAGUAGUAACCAUUAAAAAUAUCCCGUGAGGAGGCGUUUGGCCAGUGGCGGAGAUGAUCAGAAAUCUACUGAUCCACAAUGUAACAACUCAAGGCUGCGUUAUGAAAAGUAGCGUCUCGCUCAGAACUUGACUUCGUACGCAGUCACAUAUUGUGGAGCUCCACAACGCUUCAUUCUCAUCCGCUGGCGAACGAUUGUUUAAGGGGAGCGACUGUGGACCUGACUCCAGUAUUCCGUCUUUGUGUGGGUGGCCAUGGAUUCAAGGACUUUGUAAGAGCGACUGCAGCAACACGGUGUCACGGAUGUCACUGCCCGCAUCAACAGGCACUUUACAAUACAACAGCUACAGAUGACCACAUCUCCAACAGAUGCGAUGGAUGAUGAUCGGCUGGCAGGCAGUCUGCACAUGGCAAUCUGACGGUCUGAUCCAUCAGCACGGCCAGCUCCUGCAAGUGAGAAGCAUCCAACGGUGUCACCCUGUAUAGGUAUAACUAAGUCGCAAAUAUCAGUCGAAUCGUUUGAAAUAUGCUGCUAGUGUGUUUCGGAGGAAUCAUGAUUCAGUACGUUCGUGUGGACUCAUUAGAUCCGUCUGAAACGAUACCCUGCCAAUCACCCACUUUGCAGCUUCAUCGUCUAAUCGGAGUGUAUAGAGUCCAAGCAGACAUGAUAUUAUGAGUUGGACAGUUUACAAUGUCUUCCAGAUAGAUAUUGAGUUGGACAGUUUAUAAUGACUUGCAGAUAGAUAGUUAUCUAUUGUAGUGAAUAGAUAGUUAUUAGUUGUACACAGGCAAGCUCAACCUAUUCUAUUCACUGAAUGAAUGUAUGGGUAAAUUCAAUGAAGGUUGAUUGUUGAGACCA